rnacentral:rRNA from 1 species
GACGAACGCUGGCGGCGUGCUUAACACAUGCAAGUCGAACGGAAAGUCCCUGCUUUUGUGGGGUGCUCGAGUGGCGAACGGGUGAGUAACACGUGAGUAACCUGCCCUUGACUUUGGGAUAACUUCAGGAAACUUGGGCUAAUACCGGAUAGGAGCGCCUGCUGCAUUGUGGGGGUUGGAAAGUUUCGGCGGUUGGGGAUGGACUCGCGGCUUAUCAGCUGGUUGGUGGGGUAGUGGCUUACCAAGGCUUUGACGGGUAGCCGGCCUGAGAGGGUGACCGGCCACAUUGGGACUGUGAUACGGCCCAGACUCCUACGGGAGGCAGCAGUGGGGAAUAUUGCACAAUGGGCGGAAGCCUGAUGCAGCAACGCCGCGUGCGGGAUGACGGCCUUCGGGUUGUAAACCGCUUUCGCCUGUGACGAAGCGUGAGUGACGGUAAUGGGUAAAGAAGCACCGGCUAACUCCGUG